GCGGACCGUACCGCAAACCGACACUGGUGGGCGAGCUGAAUAUGCUCAGGCGCUUGAGAGAACUCGGGAGAAGGAACUCGGCAAAUUGACACCGUAACUUCGGAAGAAGGUGUGCCGUAGUACCGUGAGAGGAGAGACACCUUGAGCGGGAAACGGUCUCAGAGAAUAGGUGGCUGCGACUGUUUAUUAAAAACACAGCACUCUGCAAAGUCGAAAGACGACGUAUAGGGUGUGAUGCCUGCCCGGUGCUGGAAGAUUAAUUGAUGGGGUGAGAGCCCUUGAUCGAAGUCCCAGUAAACGGCGGCCGUAACUAUAACGGUCCUAAGGUAGCGAAAUUCCUUGUCGGGUAAGUUCCGACCUGCACGAAUGGCAUAACGAUGGCCACACUGUCUCCUCCCGAGACUCAGUGAAGUUGAAAUGUUUGUGAUGAUGCAAUCUACCCGCGGCUAGACGGAAAGACCCCAUGAACCUUUACUGCAGCUUUGCAUUGAACUGUGAACCGAUUUGUGUAGGAUAGGUGGGAGGCAGAGAAGAGGCCACGCCAGUGGCCUUGGAGCCGACCUUGAAA
rnacentral:rRNA from 1 species